rnacentral:rRNA from 1 species
AGAGUUUGAUCCUGGCUCAGGAUGAACGCUAGCUACAGGCUUAACACAUGCAAGUCGAGGGGCAGCAUGGUCUUAGCUUGCUAAGGCCGAUGGCGACCGGCGCACGGGUGAGUAACACGUAUCCAACCUGCCGUCUACUCUUGGACAGCCUUCUGAAAGGAAGAUUAAUACAAGAUGGCAUCAUGAGUCCGCAUGUUCACAUGAUUAAAGGUAUUCCGGUAGACGAUGGGGAUGCGUUCCAUUAGAUAGUAGGCGGGGUAACGGCCCACCUAGUCUUCGAUGGAUAGGGGUUCUGAGAGGAAGGUCCCCCACAUUGGAACUGAGACACGGUCCAAACUCCUACGGGAGGCAGCAGUGAGGAAUAUUGGUCAAUGGGCGAGAGCCUGAACCAGCCAAGUAGCGUGAAGGAUGACUGCCCUAUGGGUUGUAAACUUCUUUUAUAAAGGAAUAAAGUCGGGUAUGCAUACCCGUUUGCAUGUACUUUAUGAAUAAGGAUCGGCUAACUCCGUGCCAGCAGCCGCGGUAAUACGGAGGAUCCGAGCGUUAUCCGGAUUUAUUGGGUUUAAAGGGAGCGUAGAUGGAUGUUUAAGUCAGUUGUGAAAGUUUGCGGCUCAACCGUAAAAUUGCAGUUGAUACUGGAUAUCUUGAGUGCAGUUGAGGCAGGCGGAAUUCGUGGUGUAGCGGUGAAAUGCUUAGAUAUCACGAAGAACUCCGAUUGCGAAGGCAGCCUGCUAAGCUGCAACUGACAUUGAGGCUCGAAAGUGUGGGUAUCAAACAGGAUUAGAUACCCUGGUAGUCCACACGGUAAACGAUGAAUACUCGCUGUUUGCGAUAUACGGCAAGCGGCCAAGCGAAAGCGUUAAGUAUUCCACCUGGGGAGUACGCCGGCAACGGUGAAACUCAAAGGAAUUGACGGGGGCCCGCACAAGCGGAGGAACAUGUGGUUUAAUUCGAUGAUACGCGAGGAACCUUACCCGGGCUUAAAUUGCAGAUGAAUUACGGUGAAAGCCGUAAGCCGCAAGGCAUCUGUGAAGGUGCUGCAUGGUUGUCGUCAGCUCGUGCCGUGAGGUGUCGGCUUAAGUGCCAUAACGAGCGCAACCCUUGUUGUCAGUUACUAACAGGUCAUGCUGAGGACUCUGACAAGACUGCCAUCGUAAGAUGUGAGGAAGGUGGGGAUGACGUCAAAUCAGCACGGCCCUUACGUCCGGGGCUACACACGUGUUACAAUGGGGGGUACAGAGGGCCGCUACCACGCGAGUGGAUGCCAAUCCCAAAAACCUCUCUCAGUUCGGACUGGAGUCUGCAACCCGACUCCACGAAGCUGGAUUCGCUAGUAAUCGCGCAUCAGCCACGGCGCGGUGAAUACGUUCCCGGGCCUUGUACACACCGCCCGUCAAGCCAUGGGAGCCGGGGGUACCUGAAGUGCGUAACCGCGAGGAGCGCCCUAGGGUAAAACUGGUGACUGGGGCUAAGUCGUAACAAGGUAGCCGUACCGGAAGGUGCGGCUG